rnacentral:rRNA from 1 species
UGAAUCCAUAGGUUAAUGAGGCGAACCGGGGGAACUGAAACAUCUAAGUACCCCGAGGAAAAGAAAUCAACCGAGAUUCCCCCAGUAGCGGCGAGCGAACGGGGAGCAGCCCAGAGCCUGAAUCAGUGUGUGUGUUAGUGGAAGCGUCUGGAAAGGCGCGCGAUACAGGGUGACAGCCCCGUACACAAAAAUGCACAUGCUGUGAGCUCGAUGAGUAGGGCGGGACACGUGGUA